rnacentral:lncRNA from 1 species
GUCAUCACUUCAUUUUUUUGCACCUGCGCAUAAAUCUGAGAAACGGGAGUUUGUCAUCAUUUUUUAUCUAGACAUAGGAUAGGUUGUGUGAAAAUAUUACUGAUGUUUAACGUUAAAAAUGGACAAAAAGAUUAAUGCUAAACAACAUUUGACAUGUUUGAACGAACAUAAAUAGAUUAUUUACUAGGUUUUUUUAGCUUUUCGGCGUGAUUUUACCAGCCCCCCUCCACGUUUUGUGGGAGCAUAAUGAACGCUAAGUACUUGGUGUUAUUUGGACAUAAAUUAUGAACUUUGUCAAAAGAAACCACAUUUGUUCCGGACCUGGAAUGCCUUCCGGACCUGGGAUCCUGCCUUCUGAUGGAGAUAAUCAAAGCUCGUCCCCAAGAACUUGGAGAAUGGAGAUGUGAAUGACAUUGCAGAAGAUGAAGUACCAGGCCUGACCUGAGCCCUAGGACCAUGCCUCAGGACUACCUGGUAUGAUGACUCCUUGCUGUCCCCAGUCCACCUGGCCGUGCUGCUGCUCCAGUUUCAACUGUUCUGCCUGUGGCUAUGGAACCCUGACCUGUUCACCGGACGUGCUUGUUGCACCCUCGACAACUACUAUGAUUAUUAUUAAUUGACCAUGCUGGUCAUUUAUGAACAUUUUAACAUCUUGACCAUGUUCUGUUAUAAUAUCCACCCUGCACAGCCAGAAGAGGACUGGCCACUCCUCAUAGCCUGGUUCCUCUCUAGGUUUUUUGGCCUUUCUAGAGAGUUUUUCCUAGGGAGUUUUUCCUAGCCACUGUGCUUCUUUCACAUGCAUUGCUUGCUGUUUGGGGGUUUAGGCUGGGUUUCUGUACAGCACUUUGAGAUAUCAGCUGAUGUACGAAGGGCUAUAUAAAAAAAUUUUGAUUUGAUUUGAUAACAUCUAUAAUGACAUCACAAAAUGCUAAAUGAUAUGACAGGAUUAUUGUUUGGAUCACCACCAACCAUUCCAAAAGUUUGGAUUCCAAAACUAAUGUUCAUGUAUCCAAUCUUCUGAUGUUGAAGUUUUGGCGACAUGGUCUCUCUGUGUAACAUUCAAACAUUCCAUUCUCAAUACUGCAGAGCCCCAAAGAGAGAAAGUUUACGACCGGCGUUAAGUCAUAAAACUGGC